rnacentral:snoRNA from 1 species
GAGUGAGGAUGAGAUUGAGAGAGAGGAUGAGAGGGGAGGAUGGGAGGGAGUAAAAAAAGUGAAAACAAUUUCAAAUAGAUUUCAGUUUUCAGUUUUUGUUUUCACUUUUGUUACUCCUUCCUCCCAUCCUCCCUUCUCAUCUUCCCUCUCAAUCCCAUCUUCACUCU